rnacentral:misc_RNA from 1 species
AAGUCGUAACAAGGUUUCCGUAGGUGAACCUGCGGAAGGAUCAUUAACACGUGAUACUCACGUAUUAACAACCCACCGAGAACUGUUAUUCUGUCCUAUUGUUGAUUGUAAGCAGACGAAAUGAGGGAAUGCUAUGGGCCGCCUUUCGCAAGAUUGUACGCCCUAACUCAUCAGUCGUUCCUAGGUCCGCCCUGGGAGUUUACACCAGCAAAUAGUUGAUUAAUUACGAGCGCUUAUUAAGCCUGUAGCAUAGCUUGCUGCUCGUAGUGACCUUAUUAACCCCUUUUUCUAUUAUUUACUGAUUUGUAUGUUUAUAUGAAUUCCUGACUUCGGUUGGUUGAGUUUAUAUAGAUGUCGUAUAUUACUAAUACGAAACAACUCUUAGCAACGGAUAUCUUGGUUCUC